CCUGGCCCCGCCCCCUGUCCUGCGGGGAGAGGAGAGGCCGGAUCGGACGAGCGGGGCCACUCGCGUUAACCCCUUCUGCGCCGCGGGCGGUGCCUGCCUGUGCACUCCCAGGCGCUCACUCAAGGGGGCGCUUGAACGUGCGGCCACGCGGGCAGGACGCUGCUGCCAGAGCUGGAGCUACAGAAGAGCAAACGUCAAAUUGCAGGAUCACAUGGAUUGUUUAAAAAUCGCUCAGAUCCAGCGUGAGCAGGAAGGGAGCCCGGAGCGCCACAUGCUACAAAAGACAGACAGAAAAUUGCUGUUCGUUUUCAAAAGUCUCACCAGGUUUAAGCCAAUGAUGUUUCUCAGACUAGAGUCACACUUUUGACUGCUUCAAGUUGCCAGUCUUAGAGCUAGCCAGCUCCCACAUGCCAGGCUGUGCCCAAAAGUAAACCCAUCACUGAGCCCCGAUGCUGCACUCCUAUGCCACUGGAAGACAGCUAGCAACCUUCACAGCUUGGUGCGAUUACAUUGGAAAUGCAUUGCAAGAGCUGAGAAACAAUGAAUGAUCAUCACACUGCUUGCUAAGCAGGGUCUUUACCUCGUAUUCGCUUUGCCCCCAGGGGAUUUUAUUAUUUCCAGUAAAUAAAUGAGGGUAUUUGAUGAGAUGAAAUUGCUGAAAGAAUUGGAGAGAGAAAGGUCAGGCGGGAUAUUUGCUGAAUGAGAAUAAAGAAGUGCUGCUUUGCUUAGGGCUGGAACGACAACAGAGACAAGAAGCCAAGAAUCGAAAGUGAAGGGCCUUGUAAAGUGAAAAGUCUGGAAGAACAAACUCAGCAAGAAUGGAAAAAGAGCAGAAAUGGUAAGAGCAAGGAACAGGAAGACAAGGUAUUUGCAGUGCCUGCAAAGGGGAAGAAGAUAGGACUAGCUGUAAGAGACACUCUAAUCCAUUGGUUUUCAACCUGUGGUCGCAGACGCCUAGAGGUCUUCAGGCUAUGCCUAAGGGGCUCGCGAAAGAUUAUGAUGAUUAGGAGUUUACCUAACUCAUGGUGAGACGAAGCAAUUUUUGCAGCUUGAUUGCGGCAUGAAGAGUUGAUUUCAUGGGCAUAUUCCAGUGGCCCCACCCCUCACUGCUGAUUGAAUGGUAUUAUGCCUCUGCCAAUUUAAUAGCAAAUUCCACAGAAAGUAAAUUAUAUCAUGUAGCAUAUUAUUAUAAUUCUAAAUAUUUCUUUUAAAUAAAAUUACAUCUAUUAUAAAUGUAUACACAAUAUGGA